GAUGAACGCUGGCGGCGUGCUUAACACAUGCAAGUCGAACGGAAAGGCCGAAGCUUGCUUCGGUACUCGAGUGGCGAACGGGUGAGUAACACGUGGGUGAUCUGCCCUGUACUUCGGGAUAAGCUUGGGAAACUGGGUCUAAUACCGGAUAUGACGAUCUCUUGGAUGGGGUUGUGGAAAGCUUUUGCGGUAUGGGAUGAGCUCGCGGCCCAUCAGCUUGUUGGUGGGGUAAUGGCCUACCAAGGCGUCGACGGGUAGCCGGCCUGAGAGGGUGUACGGCCACAUUGGGACUGAGAUACGGCCCAGACUCCUACGGGAGGCAGCAGUGGGGAAUAUUGCACAAUGGGCGCAAGCCUGAUGCAGCGACGCCGCGUGGGGGAUGACGGCCUUCGGGUUGUAAACUCCUUUCGCAAUCGACGAAGCCUUUUGGUGACGGUAGGUUGAGAAGAAGCACCGGCUAACUACGUG
rnacentral:rRNA from 1 species